UACGUAGGUGGCGAGCGUUUGUCCGGAUUUACUGGGCGUAAAGUGUGCGCAGGCGGCAGAGCAAGUCGAGUGUGAAAGCCCCGGGCUUAACUUGGGAAUUGCGCUCGAAACUACUUUGCUGGAGUGUGGCAGAGGAAGGUGGAAUUCCACGUGUAGCGGUGAAAUGCGUAGAGAUGUGGAGGAACACCAAUGGCGAAGGCAGCCUUCUGGGCCAACACUGACGCUCAUGCACGAAAGCGUGGGGAGCAAACAGG
rnacentral:rRNA from 1 species